rnacentral:rRNA from 1 species
ACACUAUGUGUACGCGGUAGAGGAGCUUUCUGUAUGGGUUGAAGUCGUACCGUAAGGAGCGGUGGACUGUACAGAAGUGAGAAUGCUGGCAUAAGUAGCGAGAAAUAAGUGAGAAUCUUAUUGGCCGAAAACCUAAGGUUUCCUGAGGAAGGUUCGUCCGCUCAGGGUUAGUCGGGACCUAAGCCGAGGCCGAAAGGCGUAGGUGAUGGACAAUCGGUUGAUAUUCCGAUACCACCUAUUUACGUUUGAGAAAUGGGGUGACGCAGUAGGAUAAGAUGUGCGCACUAUUGGAUGUGCGUCUAAGCACUUAGGCAUGCUUGAUAGGCAAAUCCGUCGAGCUAAGCUGAGGUGUGAUGGGGAGCCAUUUAUGGCGAAGUAUCUGAUUCCACACUGCCAAGAAAGCCUCUAUCGAGUGAAUAGGUGCCCGUACCGCAAACCGACACAGGUAGGUGAGGAGAGAAUCCUAAGGCCAUCGGAAGAAUUGCUGUUAAGGAACUCGGCAAAUUGACCCCGUAACUUCGGGAGAAGGGGUGCCUACGAAAGUAGGCCGCAGAGAAUAGGCCCAAGCAACUGUUUAGCAAAAACACAGGUCUCUGCUAAAGCGAAAGCUGAUGUAUAGGGGCUGACGCCUGCCCGGUGCUGGAAGGUUAAGGGGAACACUUAGCGUAAGCGAAGGUGUGAACUUAAGCCCCAGUAAACGGCGGCCGUAACUAUAACGGUCCUAAGGUAGCGAAAUUCCUUGUCGGGUAAGUUCCGACCCGCACGAAUGGCGUAAUGAUUUGGGCACUGUCUCAACAGCAAAUCCGGCGAAAUUGUAGUGCAAGUGAAGAUGCUUGCUACCCGCGAUUGGACGGAAAGACCCCGUAGAGCUUUACUGUAGCUUAGCAUUGAAUCUCGGUAUUGUCUGUACAGGAUAGGUGGGAGACUUGGAAGCUUGGGCGUCAGCCUGAGUGGAGUCAUCCUUGGGAUACCACCCUGACAGUACUGGGGUUCUAACCGGCGGCCAUGAAUCUGGUCACGGGACAUUGUUAGGUGGGCAGUUUGACUGGGGCGGUCGCCUCCUAAAAAGUAACGGAGGCGCCCAAAAGUUCCCUCAGCGCGGUCGGAAAUCGCGCGAAGAGUGCAAAGGCAGAAGGGAGCUUGACUGCGACACAUACAGGUGGAGCAGGGACGAAAGUCGGGCUUAGUGAUCCGGUGGUACCUCGUGGGAGGGCCAUCGCUCAACGGAUAAAAGCUACCUCGGGGAUAACAGGCUGAUCUCCCCCAAGAGUCCACAUCGACGGGGAGGUUUGGCACCUCGAUGUCGGCUCGUCGCAUCCUGGGGCUGAAGUAGGUCCCAAGGGUUGGGCUGUUCGCCCAUUAAAGCGGCACGCGAGCUGGGUUCAGAACGUCGUGAGACAGUUCGGUCCCUAUCCGUCGCGGGCGUAGGAAAUUUGAGAGGAGCUGUCCUUAGUACGAGAGGACCGGGAUGGACCAACCUCUGGUGCACCAGUUGUCACGCCAGUGGCACAGCUGGUAGCUAUGUUGGGACUGGAUAAACGCUGAAAGCAUCUAAGCGUGAAGCCAACCUCAAGAUGAGAUUUCCCAUAGCGUAAGCUAGUAAGACUCCUGGAAGAACACCAGGUUGAUAGGUCAGAGAUGUAAGCAUGGCAACAUGUUAAGUUGACUGAUACUAAUAAGUCGAGGGCUUGACCAA